UACGGAGGGUGCGAGCGUUAUCCGGAAUUACUGGGUUUAAAGGGUGCGUAGGCGGCCAAGUAAGUCAGGAGUGAAAGUUUGCGGCUCAACCGUAAAAUUGCUUUUGAUACUGCUAGGCUAGAAUUAGGAUGAGGUCAGCGGAAUGUGGCAUGUAGUGGUGAAAUGCAUAGAUAUGCCAUAGAACACCAAUUGCGAAGGCAGCUGGCUAGACCUGGAUUGACGCUGAGGCACGAAAGCGUGGGGAUCGAACAGG
rnacentral:rRNA from 1 species